rnacentral:snoRNA from 1 species
CUACAUACACGUUCAGGGAUUAUGUCUAUAGUUUGUUACCAGAUGAGUUUCUCUGACUGUGUAGGGUACCAGAAACCAUAAGGAGGGGUGUUCUCUCCUGAGUGUGAAGCUGGUUUGGGUGCUGCUCUUGGGCAGCUGCCUUUUGCCACUGAUGAUGGCUCUGCUCUGUCUCUGGUAGAGUUAGAGGGAGAGAGCACAGCCUGAAUUAU